AUGGUGGGGUAUUGCGAUGCUGGAUAUUUAUCAGAUCCCCAUGAUGUCAGAUCGCAGACUGGUUUUGUCUUCUUACAUGGAGGUACGGCCUUCUCUUGGAAGUCAACAAAGCAAAUCUUAGUGGCAACGUCCACCAAUCAUUCUGAGAUAAUUGCUUUGUUCGAAGCAUCACGUGAAUGUGUAUGGCUUCACAGAAUGAUGAACUUUGUCCAAAGUUCAAGUGGGAUUGGUUCGUUGAAAUCACCCACCAUUAUCUAUGAAGAUAAUGCUACUUGUAUUGCACAAAUGCAAACGGGUUAUAUUAAGAGCAAUAUUACAAAGCAUAUUUCUCCUAAAUUAUUUUAUCCCCAUGAUCUGCAAGAAAAGGGGGAGAUAAGUAUUUUGCAAACAAAGUCAUGCGACAAUCUCGCCGAUCUGUUUACAAAAUCCUUACCAAGUUCUCUGUUCGUAUGA
rnacentral:rRNA from 1 species